CAGCGGCGGGGCCGGCGGCCGACACUUCGGCAGCAACGUCGAGGCGGCGGAAGUCGCGUUAUGGUCUUCGUUUGCAUUGAGGCGCAUAAACCCUAAUCCGCUAGGAAAUUUGUUCCCCUCGCCGCCACCUUUAUCGAUCUCUGCCCGAGGACACCCAACCGCGCAGGCGCAGGCGACGGGCGGCCGCCGAGCCGGCGGGGGCGACGAGGCCGGCGGCUCGUGAUCCGCCGACCGCGCUCAGAUCCUGCGGUAACUGGCAGGCAGCUGUGCCGCGCAGAUCCUGACGUGGACAUGUGGCCUCGGCGCCGACAGAUCCGAGAGUCUGGCCUCCUGCAGAAAACAGCAGAAUUUAAAGACACCUUGUUGGUUAUUUUAAAUUUUAGACCUAUUGGGUUUUGAUCUUUGGACCUCAUAUGUUCUCUGAUGCGCAUGUUUGAGCAACUAUUGAGUAAUCUGUAAAAAGGAGGAAAAUCAUUGUAAUGAUUACACCAUCUCAAUCCAGAUAAUUUUAAUGACAUAAACGGGGCCCGAAGCAAUGAGGGAGCAUGACUGCUCAAUAAUGAUGGUCAUAUGGGACUUGUAUGGUCAAGUUGCAGCCUGUGCUUUCUAACCAUCAUUUUCUGUUUGUUAAUGAAGGUGAUCAAUGGAUCGAGAUCCAGGCACUCAUGAUGGAAAACACAGCAUGCAAUGGUGAGCCCAAUCGAAGGGUAGCUCGAUCGACAAGCAGAAUCCAAGAAGCAAAAAGAUUCUUGGCUCGGCCGGUGCUCCUUGUCAUGCAGCUUCGGCGAAGCCACGGCCACAGCCCUGCCAGCGAGUAAACAAAUGCAGGGCCAUUUGCAAAGCAUAUAGGUACAUGCUUGUCUUGCUAAAUAAUUAACCAUGUUCAAAUUGUUACCCCAAGAUAACCAUGAUAUUUAACACCACUCGAUUUUCUUAUUAUGCAAACACACAAGACCAUGCCUUGGAAGCUACAUGGACAGCAUAUAUUUAAAAGGAGGCUGAGUUGCUCAUCUGUCUGUCAGUAUCUGUUCAUGAUGAUUUUUAACGGCAAUCAUACUGAAAAUUUUGUAAGCCAAUCGAGUGAUAAUUAAAAGAUUAUACUCAUAUUAAAUGGGGCGGCGACCAAGCAGAACGAUGGUACUCCGGUCAAGUGGGAGUGUUUUCUUGUCCCCAAAUGCAGAGUGACAUUGCCUGCCACUGAUCCAAUUUAUAAUCAGUCCCUAAUUAUCUUUCUUACUUGUUUGCCCACCCAAAACAACCCCUCUGCUGCCUCUUAUCAUCUCUUCACCUUUGCCCUUUUCAGCUAUAAAAGUAGACCUGACCUCGUCUCCGUCUUUGCACCAGCACAAUUGUGUUCCUCUUCCUCCCCCUAGGGUUACAAGAUGGGGGUCGUCAAGGUGCGCACUGGAGAAGCGAGCUCACUAUCUAUGGCCUGGAAUUAAAGAUCUGAUCUAUAUACCAGGUUUUGCAUUUGGGGGCAGCAAACUAGAGGCGGCAACUGCAUAACUUGCGAGAAACUUGUUGGAUGGUGGUCAUGCCGAUGAUUUUGCCGCAAGUUAUGCAGUUGCUGCCUCAAGCUUGCUGCCUCCAUGUGCUGAACCAAGUGGGAAUAAGAUGAAGAAAGUUAAACUACAGAUCUUCCAUAGCCAUGUAUCUUAGGUUUAGCAUGCAUGAGAAAAAACGAAGGGAAGCAGUAAUGCUAGAAGGCUGUGUACAAUCCGUCAUGCACUUUGGGCAAGCUAACUAGCUGCCAGUGUACAGUUAUUAAUUUGGUUUCCAUUGUUGUGAAUUGGUGUUUUUGCUGUGUUUUACAUUAGUCAAUCUGAUUUUCUGCCAUAUGAGCAAAAGGCACCAGAUGAUGAAA